AUUGAACGCUGGCGGCAUGCUUUACACAUGCAAGUCGAACGGCAGCGCGGGCUUCUUCCUGGCGGCGAGUGGCGAACGGGUGAGUAAUACAUCGGAACGUGCCCAGUAGUGGGGGAUAGCUCGGCGAAAGCCGGAUUAAUACCGCAUACGACCUGAUGGUGAAAGCGGGGGAUCUUCGGACCUCGCGCUAUUUGAGCGGCCGAUGGCAGAUUUGCUAGUUGGUGGGGUAAAUGCCUACCAAGGCGACGAUCUGUAGCUGGUCUGAGAGGACGACCAGCCACACUGGGACUGAGACACGGCCCAGACUCCUACGGGAGGCAGCAGUGGGGAAUUUUGGACAAUGGGCGAAAGCCUGAUCCAGCAAUGCCGCGUGUGUGAUGAAGGCCUUCGGGUUGUAAAGCACUUUUGGCGGGAACGAAAAGGACUGUGCCAAUACCACGGUUCGAUGACGGUACCCGCAGAAUAAGCACCGGCUAACUACGUG
rnacentral:rRNA from 1 species